UACAGAGGGUGGCAAGCGUUGUUCGGAAUUAUUGGGCGUAAAGGGCGCGUAGGCGGUGCGGUAAGUCUGCGGUGGAAAUCUCCCGGCUCAACUGGGAGGGUGCCUUGAAAACUGCUAGGCUUGAGGCAGGGAGAGGGAUGUGGAAUUCCAGGUGUAGUGGUGAAAUGCGUAGAUAUCAGGAGGAACACCGGUGGCGAAGGCGGUUCUCUGGGCCUUACCUGACGCUGGAGGAGCGAAAGCGUGGGGAGCGAACAGG
rnacentral:rRNA from 1 species